CAGGUUCGAACAGGAGGGACAAUCGGUUCAAGUGAACACGGAUAUGGUUGUAAAUCAUUGUGCGACGAACGUUAAUUUAGGAAUGAACGUUGGAUGUUGGAGUAUGGGGUUUUAUGGAAAGUUUCUCAUAUUUUGAUCGAAGA